GAUGAACGCUGGCGGCGUGCCUAAUACAUGCAAGUCGAGCGAACAGACGAGGAGCUUGCUCCUCUGACGUUAGCGGCGGACGGGUGAGUAACACGUGGAUAACCUACCUAUAAGACUGGGAUAACUUCGGGAAACCGGAGCUAAUACCGGAUAAUAUAUUGAACCGCAUGGUUCAAUAGUGAAAGACGGUUUUGCUGUCACUUAUAGAUGGAUCCGCGCCGCAUUAGCUAGUUGGUAAGGUAACGGCUUACCAAGGCAACGAUGCGUAGCCGACCUGAGAGGGUGAUCGGCCACACUGGAACUGAGACACGGUCCAGACUCCUACGGGAGGCAGCAGUAGGGAAUCUGCCGCAAUGGGCGAAAGCCUGACGGAGCAACGCCGCGUGAAUGAUGAAGGUCUUCGGAUCGUAAAACUCUGUUAUUAGGGAAGAACAAAUGUGUAAGUAACUAUGCACGUCUUGACGGUACCUAAUCAGAAAGCCACGGCUAACUACGU
rnacentral:rRNA from 1 species